UUCCAAUUCUUUAACGGCAACUAAAUAAGGUUUUCUCGCAAAUUUUCGUUCAAAAUUCCAAUCAUUAAAUUAGCUAUAUACCUGCUGCAUACAUCUGUCGUUUCAUCCACGAUAAUAUACAAAAAA
rnacentral:lncRNA from 1 species